AGUAAAAUACUUUUCUUAAAGACUUGAAUUGAAUUGGUUGAAAAUUUUGCCACUAAUUUCUCAGACACGAAUUGGUCCAUCGGCUGUACAGCAAGAUUUCUAUUUCAUAGAAAGCAAACAUUCAAAAUUGGAAUAUUUACGGCCUACAAAUAUCUACAAAUCCAUACAGUCAUCCCUACCGAUAUUGCAAAUUCUAUCACGUCCAACAAGAAUGAUGCAAUUCCCCGCUGUUUGAAGGAUCCAACCGGAGAGUUAAUCUUUGGGGACUUAGACUUACCACUAUGCCUAGAAUUGAAGUCCCUACAAUUGGACACAAAUGUCCAUUUUUCAAGCCGGAUUUGUUGUUCAAAAUUAUUUUCCUAAUGGCGAUGAAGAAACACUUUUAGACAUUCCCAUAAACGCUCAAGAGUUUGAGGAAUAUGUAAAUUUUGAUAAGGAUACUGAAUGCUUUGGCCCACUUACAGAGGAAGAAAUAUUGUCAGGUAUUUUGGAAGAUAACGAUGGCGAGGUGUCACCAUCUGAAGAUACUACGGAAAAUACUUUUGAAGUGAACCCACCCUCUUUUGCAGAAGCGCUGACAGCACUAGAAACAGUGAAGAGAUAUAUGGAGAGCAAUAAUCUUGAAUUUGAUGAACUUGAAAUGUUAGAAGAAAAGUUUUUUUAAAAAACAAAGUUUCAAAACAUGCGUCAAAAGAAAAUUACUGACUUUUUUGCUAUUUAAAACUAUUUUUGAAAUCAACUUUAUUUUAAAUGAUCUCAUAAAAAAUACAUAUGUUUUAAAUCAGGGCAAGGCAGAGAGCAUGGUAGAAAUACCAGGUAGCAACAUAGGCGAAAAUUACAACAAAGCAACUUUUUUGGAAACUUGAUAUGUCAAAGUUGUAGUCAGGGCGAAUUGAUUUGAAGUACAAAAUUUGGGGCAAAUUAUUUUUCCAAUCAAAAUAUUGAAUUAAAAAUUUUCAAAAUUGUGUUUUUUUCUAUUACAAAAGCAAAUAUUCAAAACUUCCAACAUCGAUUGAAAGUAAUGCUGAAGCCGCUGCAUCUUGGUUUGAUUAUAGCACGUUCAAUACAACAUUUUUGAAAAUCACAUAGACUGGAAAUGGAGUGAUUGUAGUCUCCAGCGCACCAACGAAGGACAUUUGCGAUAAUAGAUGUCCAAUCGUUAUCUCUUCAUCAUCCUUACACAGCAUGCAGUCUUGGUAACGUUGGCAACGUUGAUUUCAUAUUCAACUGCGAUAAUGUUCUUUAAAGGAAAUAUCCGGAAAAUUAUUUUUGAUGCUUUAAAAUUAGGUUUUGUGGUGGUUCUGGGGUGUACCCUUUUUUCUUUUGCUACAUCGUCAGCUUUCUCGCUGUAGUGACAUGCUACCUAAAAGGUACUUUAGGGUAUAUUUACUCCUCAGGCUUACUUAAGAUUUGGAUCAAAGAUUGCAGAAGGGGGGGCUGAGUCUACUGUGAGUCCAGGCAUAUUAUUUGCUCAGCUAUGAAAUGUAUAGCAGACAGGAAGUCUUUUAAGCAUAGAUAACUUUAAUACAUUCGAACAAUUUGAAAUAAAAAAAUUAUCUCAAUAUUUAAUCACACCCCAAAAAUUCCCAAUAUUUUGUUCCCCAAACCAAUCCAAUAUGCUUUGGAAUCAUUCACCUUUCACUGUUGAAGCCCUAUAGUGUAUAACAUAGUUGAAAAUCCGUACAAAUAAGAUGAUGAAAUUCCAUGUAUCGGUUUAUUUCCUAAAUGAAAUUGAUUCCCUGUUUCACUUAUUUCAAAUAUCCACGAAUUUUAGAUCUCCAUAUUACCUAUGCCUACCAUAUGUUGAAUAUACACUUUUUCCCUCAUAUUCUAUAAAAACGUAAAAUCUCGAUUUUCUAUCAAUAGCAUUGUUAAAGUUUGAAAUCAUGCAACAAUUUUCUUAUGUGUAAAUGAAGGCGAAUUCAAAUUACAACAAUUUUUUGACAUAUCAAAUUGAUACCAGCUGGCCUGAAAGGGUUACCUUGUAAUUCUAC